rnacentral:rRNA from 1 species
CGGCGGACGGGUGAGUAACGCGUGGGUAACCUGCCUUAUACAGGGGGAUAACAACCAGAAAUGGUUGCUAAUACCGCAUAAGCGCACAGGACCGCAUGGUCCGGUGUGAAAAACUCCGGUGGUAUAAGAUGGACCCGCGUUGGAUUAGCUAGUUGGCGGGGUAACGGCCUACCAAGGCGACGAUCCAUAGCCGGCCUGAGAGGGUGAACGGCCACAUUGGGACUGAGACACGGCCCAG